UGCCUGAGUAGUAGUAGUUAUGUUCUUGAAACUUAAAAAAUUUGGCGGUAUUUUAGUCUAUUCAGAGGAACCUGUUCUAUAAUCGAUAAUCCACGUUGGACCUUACUUAUUUUUGCAUUCAGUUUAUAUACCGUCGUUAUCAGAAUAUUUUAUAAGAAAAAUAAUUUUCAAUAAUUUAUAUUUGAAUAUAUAUCAGAUCAAGGUGUAGCUUAUAAAUAAGAAGAAAUGGGUUACAAUAAAAUUAUUUAUAUGGAAUUAGAUAUGAAAACUCUAAUGAAAGUGGAUUUGAUAGUAAAAUUGUAAAGAUAAACAAUUUGAUUUUAGCUCUAAAAUAUGCACACAUCGCCCGUCGCUCUUAUUACUAAGAUAAGAUAAGUCGUAACAUAGUAGAUGUACCGGAAGGUGUAUCUAGAAUGCAAUUUAAAGCUUAAUUAGAAAGCAUCUCAUUUACAUUGAGAAGAAUUAUGUGCAAUUCAUUAUAAAUUGAAUAAAAUUUAUUUAUUAGUUUUGUUUUUAUUUAUUGUAUAUUAUUAAAAGUAAUUAUAUUGGGUAUUGUUUUAGUAACUUAUAAAGAAAAAAUAUUAUUAAUUAUAGCAAAUUAGUAUUGAAAAAGAAUAUUGAAAUAAUUGAAAAA
rnacentral:rRNA from 1 species